rnacentral:rRNA from 1 species
GACGAACGCUGGCGGCGUGCUUAACACAUGCAAGUCGAACGGAAGGGCCCUGCUUUUGUGGGGUGCUCGAGUGGCGAACGGGUGAGUAACACGUGAGUAACCUGCCCUUGACUUUGGGAUAACUUCAGGAAACUGGGGCUAAUACCGGAUAGGAGCUCCUGCUGCAUGGUGGGGGUUGGAAAGUUUCGGCGGUUGGGGAUGGACUCGCGGCUUAUCAGCUUGUUGGUGGGGUAGUGGCUUACCAAGGCUUUGACGGGUAGCCGGCCUGAGAGGGUGACCGGCCACAUUGGGACUGGGAUAGGGCCCAGACUCCUACGGGAGGCAGAGGGGGGGAAUAUUGAACAAUGGGCGGAAGCCUAAUGCAGCAACGCCGCGUGCGGGAUAACGGCCUUCGGGUUGUAAACCGCUUUCGCCUGUGACAAAGCGUGAGUGACGGUAAUGGGUAAAGAAGCACCGGCUAACUACGUG